CUGAUAAUCAUCAAGUGACCGCUGUAGCUGCUCAUUUACUAUCCUAAAGAAUCAGUGGACAAAAACAAAUGAAAUGUAUCUAAACGAGAAGGUGACUUGUCUCGACGUUUUAUUCCAUGCUCUAGCCUCAUUCUCUCAACUUCCAAAGAGGGCAGGAGAAAGACCUAGAGUUCAAGACUACCAUAGGUAUCUGCAACUAGCUUGCUUAUUCUCUCAGCCUCACCUGCACAAUGGGGAUAGGACCAGUAACAAGACACU